rnacentral:rRNA from 1 species
UACGGAGGGUGCAAGCGUUAUCCGGAAUUACUGGGCGUAAAGGGCGCGUAGGCGGGUGGACAAGUCUCUCGUGAAAGCCCACGGCUCAACCGUGGAAUUGCGGGAGAUACUGUCUGUCUUGAGUCCGGGAGAGGAGGGUGGAAUUCCCAGUGUAGCGGUGAAAUGCGUAGAUAUUGGGAGGAACACCGGUGGCGAAGGCGGCUCUCUGGACCGGUACUGACGCUGAGGCGCGAAAGCUAGGGGAGCAAACGGG